rnacentral:tRNA from 1 species
UUAAUUGAAGCCAAGGGAAGGAGGCACCUUAAUGUUAAUAAGGAAAUUGAUAUUAAUCCAAUUAAA